UAGGGAAUCUUCGGCAAUGGACGGAAGUCUGACCGAGCAACGCCGCGUGAGUGAAGAAGGUUUUCGGAUCGUAAAGCUCUGUUAUUAGAGAAGAACGUUGGUAGGAGUGGAAAAUCUACCAAGUGACGGUAACUAACCAGAAAGGGACGGCUAACUACGUGCCAGCAGCCGCGGUAAUACGUAGGUCCCGAGCGUUGUCCGGAUUUAUUGGGCGUAAAGCGAGCGCAGGCGGUUCUUUAAGUCUGAAGUUAAAGGCAGUGGCUUAACCAUUGUACGCUUUGGAAACUGGAGGACUUGAGUGCAGAAGGGGAGAGUGGAAUUCCAUGUGUAGCGGUGAAAUGCGUAGAUAUAUGGAGGAACACCGGUGGCGAAAGCGGCUCUCUGGUCUGUAACUGACGCUGAGGCUCGAAAGCGUGGGGAGCAAACAGGAUUAGAUACCCUGGUAGUCCACGCCGUAAACGAUGAGUGCUAGGUGUUAGGCCCUUUCCGGGGCUUAGUGCCGCAGCUAACGCAUUAAGCACUCCGCCUGGGGAGUACGACCGCAAGGUUG
rnacentral:rRNA from 1 species